rnacentral:tRNA from 1 species
GCCUGGGUGGCUCAAUCGGUUGAGCGUCCGACUUCGCUUCAGGUCGUGAUCUCAUGGCUCUGUGGGUUCAAGCCCCGCUUCGGGCU